GAUGAACGCUGGCGGCGUGCUUAACACAUGCAAGUCGAACGGCAGCGGGUCCUUCGGGAUGCCGGCGAGUGGCGAACGGGUGAGUAAAGCAUCGGAACGUACCGUGUAGUGGGGGAUAACGUAGCGAAAGUUACGCUAAUACCGCAUACGCUGUGAGCAGGAAAGCGGGGGAUGGCAAGACCUCGCGCUAUACGAGCGGCUGAUGUCAGGUAAGCUAGUUGGUGGGGUAAAGGCUCACCAAGGCGACGAUUGGUAGUGGGUCUGAGAGGAUGAUCCGCCACACUGGGACUGAGACACGGCCCAGACUCCUACGGGAGGCAGCAGUGGGGAAUUUUGGACAAUGGGGGCAACCCUGAUCCAGCCAUGCCGCGUGAGUGAAGAAGGCCUUCGGGUUGUAAAGCUCUUUCGGACGGGAAGAAAUCGCACGGGCUAAUACUCUGUGUGGAUGACGGUACCGUAAUAAGAAGCACCGGCUAACUACGUGCCAGCAGCCGCCGUAA
rnacentral:rRNA from 1 species